rnacentral:rRNA from 1 species
CCUACGGGCGGCAGCAGUGAGGAAUAUUGGUCAAUGGGCGCGAGCCUGAACCAGCCAAGUAGCGUGAAGGAUGACUGCCCUACGGGUUGUAAACUUCUUUUAUAAAGGAAUAAAGUGAGGCACGUGUGCCUUUUUGUAUGUACUUUAUGAAUAAGGAACGGCUAACUCCGUGCCAGCAGCCGCGGUAAUACGGAGGAUCCGGGCGUUAUCCGGAUUUAUUGGGGUUAAAGGGAGCGUAGAUGGGAUGUUAAGUCCGUUGUGAAAGUUUGGGGCUCAACCGUAAGAUUGCAAUUGAUACUGGCAGUCUUGAGUGCAGGUGAGGUAGGCGGAAUUCGUGGUGUAGCGGUGAAAUGCUUAGAUAUCACGAAGAACUCCGAUUGCGAAGGCAGCUUACUA